CCUUCCUGCUCCCGCGCCGGGGGCUACCGUACCCACCCGGACGCAGAUGGGAACCGCACCGCGGAGAGACGGUGGCCCGCGGCGGACCAACUUCCUGCGCCGGGAGAGAGGGCGGGACUGCGGCUCCGCGCUUGGCUGUGCGGCAGGUCAUAUUUUUUAGACCUCUGGUCAUUCCGAUUGCUUUCUGAGUUCUCUCCAAUACUGGUUUACAUCUUUCCUGAAGCGUGGUGCACAGUAACGAAGGUCAUACUCUGCUUGAGGCUACACCAGCAUCAGUGACAUACCACCUCAACACUUAUCUCCUGGGUCUUUCCAGUAGCAGCUUGGUGAAGAGUGAGACAUUUUCUGUUCAGCUACCAAAAAAAAAAAAAAAAAAAAAAAAAGAAUCCGUUUACAAUGGGUUUAUUUCCCUUGGGUUAUAAUUAAACAACUUCAAUAACAUGCCAGUAAUAUUGCCGUAAUUACGUAGGUAUUAAUAACAUGUUGUUGCCAAGGUAUUUUACUGAUAUAUAAAUUAUCUUGUAAAGGACUGUUAUUUUGCUGAGGGAGCCAUUCAGCGACCCUAGGGCAAGGAGGUAUGUGGUAUGUGCUAAAACAGCAUUAGUGAUCAGAAGAAUAAAUCUUGAAGUCUACUAAAGAAGAACAGGAAGCUUCUGUUGGGAAACCAGCCAAGCUGUUGUAUAGGGGUUGUAUCAUUUAUGCAUCACCAUAUAGAGCUGCUGACAACCUACUGCAACUGCCCAUGACUGACAGCACAGGCAGAGCCAUCUUUAGGCUGUACAUAUGACUGCAAUAAAAGCACCUCAUUUGUGAGUGCCAUUGCUUCAGAACCAGCCACUACAGUAUCCCGCAAUGCUACCUGUGUAAGUGCUGUCUUUAAGGGAAAAAAACCACCAGUGCUUGUGCCUGGCCUCAUAUCCCACCCUUGAGCCUCGUUGUAAGGUGGACCUAGCACCUCCUCUAACGUGCUCUAAAUGAGAUAACUCAUCCGAAACUUCAGAAGUGUCUGCCUCAUUACUGCUGCUAACCACAUGCAGAUCCCUUCCGAAGUCUUUUCACCUGGUGCCUGAUGACCUUUACUUUCAGUCCUCUUUCCUCCCUAGCGCUCACUGGUGGCAUUUUUCUGAAACAGUGCUAACAAUCUAAUAAAUAUUAUUAUUUCAAAAUGGUUCAUCUCCAUAUUCCAUAAGCUAACGAUGAUAUUACUGACCAAAGGGAAAUAUACUCACUU